rnacentral:rRNA from 1 species
UACAGAGGUCUCAAGCGUUGUUCGGAUUCAUUGGGCGUAAAGGGUGCGUAGGCGGCUUUCUAAGUCUGAUGUGAAAUCCCGGGGCUCAACCCUGGAACUGCAUUGGAUACUGGGAGGCUAGAGUACUGGAGAGGAAACUGGAAUUUACAGUGUAGCAGUGAAAUGCGUAGAUAUCGUAAGGAAGACCAGUGGCGAAGGCGAGUUUCUGGACAGUUACUGACGCUGAGGCACGAAGGCCAGGGGAGCAAACGGG